GUCUCUGUAACGCAAAGGAUAGCGCAUUGGACUUCUAAUUCAAAGGUCGUGAGUACGAAUCCCACCUGGGAUU